rnacentral:rRNA from 1 species
GAAUUUAAUAUAAAUUUUUAAUUUACAAUUAAAAGUUUAUAUUUAAAAAUUUAUAUUUUGUUGGGGGGAUAAUAAAAUUUAUUAAACUUUUUAUUUAUAGGAAGCUUUUGAUUGGAUAAAAAGAUUUUAUUAACAUAGAUUAAUGGGAUUAAAGAAUAAUAAAUAGUUUUAUUUUGUUAGUAUUAAUUACCUUAGGGAUAACAGCGUAAUAAUUUUUAAAAGAUCUUAUUGAAAAUAAUGAUUGC